rnacentral:rRNA from 1 species
UUUAAAUGGCCGCAGUAUACUAACUGUGCAAAGGUAGCAUAAUCAUUAGUCUUUUAAUUGAAGGCUGGUAUGAAUGGUUGGACGAGAUAUUAACUGUUUCAUAAAAAUUUAUAAUAGAAUUUUAUUUUUUAGUCAAAAAGCUAAAAUAAAAUUAAAAGACGAGAAGACCCUAUAAAUCUUUAUAUUUAGAUUAUUAGAAUUUUGUGGAUUUUUUUUUAUUAUAAUAGUUAAUUAUAUUUUAUUGGGGUGAUAUUAAAAUUUUAUAAACUUUUAAUUUUUAUAAACAUUAAUUUAUGAACAUUUGAUCCGUUAAUAACGAUUAUAAAAAUAAGUUACUUUAGGGAUAACAGCGUAAUUUUUUUGGAGAGUUCAUAUCGAUAAA